GAGUUUGGCAAGGAUGACUGCCUCUUGCAGCCUGAUGGCCUGAUGGGUCGGGCCACCUCGGGGUCCCGGCACAGGCAUGUGUGUGUGUACACCAGUUUGCGCCGCUUUCCUUGCCGCUUAGGCUGUUGCCGGCAGUGCCUCUGUCCGUUAUGCCAAUAUGAAGUUGUGAGUGUUACAUGGCCGUGGGUGCGUUCCCCGUACCUGCAAAUCGCCCUAAUACGAGCCGAGGGCUCAAGGGCUGCCAGAUCGCCUGUAAGCACCACCCUCCGUCGCAUUUCAGACAAAGCAAGUUAUGAAGGAUACUAACGACCAAACGGAACGAUAGAGUUGCGGUGUCCAUAUACGUUCCAGCAUCCUUCCCAGGCGUUCAGGUUCCCACUUCAUAGCGUGCUUCAAAUGCUUGAAGCAUGGGAAAUCCAUAUCAGAUCUGAUUUUGUCAUACACCGGGCAGUCCAGCAAAAUGUGCUUCUCAUCCUCGAUAUGGCUAUCAGUGCCGCAACAGGGGCAUACUCGCUCCUCCCUAGGUACGUAACGCCGUCCCUUACGCGCGCUGGUAGCCGCCAAUGCCAAUAUGGCCGCUUGAAGGGGCAGGUUGUACGGUGGAUUGCAAGCUGGAAUAACUGUACUCCUGGAAAUGUAACGUCUGGGUUCUCUAAGGGGGGCUAGGUUUUACAGAGGUUAUGGUAACGUGCCCGUGCUUCAAAAUGUGAAUACUUUCCAGCCCUGCUUGGCGCAGGGCUGGAGCAGUUACGUGCGUCAGACCGUUCGGCAAAACGCACGGUAUAAAGACGCGGCAACGAUUGCAUGGUGUCAUUUCACCUCCCAAGUGAAGACCACAAUUAUCCUCACGAUGCAUAAUGGAAACCACCUCCAAAGGCACUGACCAGCCCUGGUGUGCUGACUCACGGUUACGGGUCCAAGGCAACUUGUCGCGCGGAGACAUGCUAAUCCUUCGCACAUGGAAAUGGGCGACAACCUGAGAACCUACCUACAUGGCAGCUUAAGUGCUUCGUAGCGCAACGCAGGUAAGAACCAGGGUAAGGACCUUCUUUGUGGUGCCGCAAACUAACGAUAAUUAAUAAGGCGGGAUCAUUACACUACGAUGUCCUCCAUAACAUAGGUAGGUGCAAAUCCGAGUAAAAGAACUGCUCGUUUCUUCCGUAUGCACCCCUUCUCGUACCGUACCGCUUUGCAGUCACACUAGGCAACAGGAAACUGUCUUUUGCCCUUAGCUGACUAAAUUGAUUGCAUCAAGCUUCAACAUGCAAUACUUGGACCGGAACCCGCUUGAGCAGUCUUGAGGGUCAUUUUUGGACAAACCUUCAUUUGGCAUCCCCUUCUGGCGCUGCGCCAGCUGCAAUGUGGAGGUCAUAUUCAGCGGCGCAGCCUGGAACCUCACCUAGCGCAUUUCCCGGCACGGCGGCCCUACUUGGGCCCGGUUCUCGAGCCAGUUUCGAGCUAUGCGAGGACGACAGCAGGACAUCUGCAAACGGGACAAACGGUUUUUCGCGACGCAGCUCUGCACAGUCGACUUUCGGACAAAGCGACCCAGUUGACACUGCGGAGGCAGCUCAAGCUUAUUUAGCGUGGCAGGCGAGCCUCUUAGCCGCAUUUAUGAGCAAUGCAAAUUAUGCAACCCUGGAGAGAUAAGGAAUGUGCUCCCUUUCACAGGAGAACCACCCCUGCGUACUGACGCAUUUCGAGUCGUUUAAAGCUGCCGUUGAAGGCAAACGCCUCGCCGUGUUCCUAGAUUAUGAUGGUAUGUUUACGUUUGUGCACAAAGACCUUUACAUGUUGGAAUCUGCC
rnacentral:lncRNA from 1 species